rnacentral:lncRNA from 1 species
CCCGCACUGAACUAAAAUCCUGGCUCCGCCCCUGCUAAAGAGAGAUGAGCUUACAUGUCUUUAAGUAACUGGUUUUCUGAUACGUCCUUCAAACUCCAUAGAUAUGUGCGAAUUUGGAAAUGGCAACCAGCUGGUUAGAGACCCCAAGAAAUGAAGGCAUAUCCUAGCGAGCGAGAAAGUUCAGUGGAGUUUGCACACUGCCAGAUUGCGAUCAAUGCUCUAAAAGGCGAAAUGUGUGGCAAUGAGUUAACCCCAAGCUAAGGGGUAGGUGAGGC